UACUAUAUUACCACUCUUCACAGAGAUUAGAUUAAUGACUGAUUAUAUAUCUGGAAAUGUUCACAGUAAAUGGUGUGUAAAUUUAAUGUAUUUGUUUAAAAAAAAAUUAUAUACAAAGUUUACAAAAACAUUUUUUUUUUUAUUAUGUUGUAAUCAAAAACCGUCAAGCACCACAAUAUCUUUGCCCGAUAGAUGACAAAUCUUCUAGUUCUGGUGGAGAGUCUGACCCCCUGCCAAGCGUAUUUAUGGACAACGAUGGGAAUGAUACAACAGGAAGCCACCGGACAAGAACAUCAGGCAAGGCCAUUAAUCGUCAACGAUUCAAAUGAUGCCAAAGAUCUUGAAUUGCCAGAUAUUGAAGAUGAAGCACAAAUUCAGACGGAGGAUUCCAAUGAUUAAGGAGAGGACAAUAUUGAGAACUAUGAGAGCCUACAAGAGGAGGAAGAUUUGGCGGUUGAAAUAGAG